CAAGACCUUGCGCUUUUGGAGCGGCCGAUGUCUGAUUAGCUAGUUGGUGGGGUAAAGGCUUACCAAGGCUACGAUCAGUAGCUGGUCUGAGAGGACGAUCAGCCACACUGGGACUGAGACACGGCCCAGACUCCUACGGGAGGCAGCAGUGGGGAAUUUUGGACAAUGGGGGCAACCCUGAUCCAGCCAUGCCGCGUGAGUGAAGAAGGCCUUCGGGUUGUAAAGCUCUUUCAGCCGGAACGAAANGGUUACGGUUAAUACCNGUGACUAAUGACGGUACCGGAAGAAGAAGCACCGGCUAACUACGUGCCAGCAGCCGCGGUAAUACGUAGGGUGCGAGCGUUAAUCGGAAUUACUGGGCGUAAAGCGUGCGCAGGCGGUUUUGUAAGUCAGAUGU
rnacentral:rRNA from 1 species